UGGGGAAUAUUGCACAAUGGGCGAAAGCCUGAUGCAGCAACGCCGCGUGAGCGAUGAAGGCUUUCGAGUCGUAAAGCUCUGUCCUAAGGGAAGAUAAUGACGGUACCUUAGGAGGAAGCCCCGGCUAACUACGUGCCAGCAGCCGCGGUAAUACGUAGGGGGCGAGCGUUAUCCGGAAUCAUUGGGCGUAAAGGGUGCGUAGGCUGCCCUAUAGGUCAGAGGUCAAAGGCUACGGCUCAACCGUAGUAAGCCUUUGAAACUGUAGGGCUUGAGUGCAGGAGAGGAGAGUGGAAUUCCUAGUGUAGCGGUGAAAUGCGUAGAUAUUAGGAGGAACACCAGUGGCGAAGGCGACUCUCUGGACUGUAACUGACGCUGAGGCACGAAAGCGUGGGGAGCAAACAG
rnacentral:rRNA from 1 species